AUGUUGCCAUCUAGUGCAGUGCAAGGAUCAACCGAGCAAUCGGUAUAAAACGCCCGCCUCGCGCCGAGUCUUGUGGAGGUCGCAUUUAGUUAGCAGAACUGACAUCAGAAAGUGGAACAAGCAAAGUUGCAAAUGGUGAAAUCACCAUUGAAUUGGAACCAAUAAUUCGAUUCGGCUGUAAUAGGUAUCCUAAUUGAAAAUUGCACAUUUUUCUUCCAGAUCUGCAAGGUUGCAACUGAUCAGACCUCCUCAGCUCCAAGCAUGGGUGUGAAGGUCCUCAAGUGCUUCUCCUGGUACAGACGCUGUAAGGAACGAUGCAAGGCUAAACAGUGCCCCCCACCUGCAGUCCCCAGAGAGGAGAUGAAGCCUCGCCUGUCGUCUACGGUGUCGUGCGGUAGCCAGGGCGAGGGCGGUAGCAGCCUGAGUGGAUCCCAGAUCUACUUCUCCACCAAGGCUCGCCUCUCCUUUAGACACCAGAUGGACAGCAACUUCAACGCAGUGGACGCAACCUGCUGAGCAAGAGCAGCCUCGACAAGCCUGGGUAGUGUUCAUUAGGCAUCAAACGGAAGAAUAUAGACUGAAUCCGGGAGGGACUGCCUGGGCUUGUCCAAUCAUCAUCAUCACCACCCCGAAAAAUGAACUCUCACCCCUCCACUAUGACAGCCAUUAUUCUAGCUCAACAGAACGGGGAAUGGGGCAGAAGUUGAACGCGAAGGACUCAGACUUCACCUACUCAGUGGUGCAUAAAUACAUCGUUCUCAACUCUCCCUUCAGAGAUGACUGUGAAAGGAGGAAUAUAAUCACAGCAGAUUGAGUUCUUCACGACAGAGAAAGACUAAAUGCACUGCUAAUGUAGCUAGUGGAGGUGGAGACAUGUAAUGGAGAAAUGUUUACAACGUUAUCACACUAAGUGCAUUAUUUUCCUUUUGUGUUUCUGACCACCCUUUUAUUUCUACGUUCCUUUUUUCCAGUGUGUGUGUUGGGGUGUAAAUGACUGUGUUGGUUUGGUCUAGGGCCAGGUAGAAGACCACAAACUGCAAACAGUCGUGUCUUUAAAAUACUAGCUGGUGAAUAUGAUUUGUAUUUGUAUGUGUUAGGGAUCCCCAUUAGCUGCUACCAAGGCAGCAGCUACUCUUCCUGGAGUCCAAACACAUUAAGGCACUUAAAUCACACAUAAAAUAUAAAACAGUACAUCAUAUAACAUUAUUACACCAAUACAUACCUACAAUGCUAAAUGUAUAAUACCACCAUACAACAAUAUUACAAUGUACGUGUGUGGAGUACGUGCGUAAGAAUGUCAGCACUCCCAACUUUAAAUACAGGCUUUUUACAUAAAAAUAUCCUGACAGUGUCCUCACUUGCUGAGAAAAACAUGGUAACUAGAUUUGAUCAGAUUAGCUGAUAAAAGACAGUAAUGAGUUUCAGAGUUUGUGCCUUGUAGAAAAAAAAAAAAAAAACUUAAUUUAAACAUUUCCAAAGCUCUGACGAAGGCCUCGAGGCCGAUACGUAAAGUUGAAUAAAGAGCAGUGUGCGGGUUUCUUCUUUUCCCCCCUCACUUUAUUCAGCGGUUACCAUGCACCUGCAACAAAGAUAGCUCAGAUGUGCGAGAGUGCCUUCUGAAACCUUUCCAAGGUGAAAUGAAUGUUGGUGCCAGCGAUCUUCUAGUAGUGCCCUGCCUACCUGACUGAGUCUACACUUCAUUUGGCAGCAUUGCCCUCUCCAUCUUACAUGCAGCUUUUACCUUGACUGACUUCUCAUGUUCUGGGGAACAUCAAUGAAGUGACCAGAAAGUCAACAGAUGCUUCACAUACUAGUUUCAGGACAUGUCAAUGACACAUUACUUCUAAUUGUGUUGUGUUUGUAGAAAUCUAAGUUGAGAAAUAGUUGUAUGAGUGAUGAGGUAAUAGCAUCUCACUGACACCACUUCUGGGGGUUUGGUGAGAAGAAUGUACAGGGCUUUAAAGUAUUCACACUCCUGGACUUUUUCCACGUGUUGUUGUUACGGCCUGAAUUUAAAAUUAAAUGUAGAUUUGGGGGUCACUGGUCUACACACACUACCCCAUAAUGUCAAAGUGGAUUUAUGAAUUAAAAAUUAAAAGCUGAACUGUCCUGCGUUAAGUCUUCAAAGCAUUUGAAAUAACUUCAGGAAUACAAACAAGUCAGACAUCCUGUGUGCAAUAAAUGUAACUUUUUUUUUAUGACUACCUCAUCACUGUACCCCACACAUACAAUUAUCUGUAAGGUCCCUCAGUCGAGGAGUGAAUUUCAACCACAAAGACACGGGAGGUUUUCCAAUACCUCACGAAGGGCACCAAUUGGUUAGUGGCGAAAAAUAAUAGUUUGAAUAUCCUUUUGAGCAUGGGAAGUUAUUAAUAACACUUUGGAUGGUGUAUCAAUACACCCGGUCACCAACUCAGUUGACGGAGAGGAAGGAAACCGCUCAGGGAUUUCACCAUGAGGGCAAUGGUGAUUUUAAACCAGUUGGAGUUAAAUGGCUGUGAUAGAAAACUGAGGAUGGAUCAACAUAGUACUUACUCCACAAUACAUUUAAGUCACGCCGUACACUUUCAGGGCGAUUUAAGUCAAAACUGUAACUAGGCCACUCGGGAACAUUCAAUGUCGUCUUGGUAAGUAUCGCCAGCGUAUAUUUAGCCUUGCGUUUUAGGUUUAUUGUCCUGCUGAAAGGUGGAUUUGUCUCCCAGUAUCUGUUGGAAAGCAGACUGAAAUCAGGAAAACCUUACAAAUAGUAUAGGAUCCAGGUUUCAAAGCUCUUGGACAUUUACCAAGAAAAAGACUCACAGCUGUGAUCACUGCCAAAGGUGAGUCAAACAUGUAUUGACUUAGGGGGUUAAUAUACUUAUCUAAAAUCGGAAUAUUUUAUUUUCCAUUAAUAAAAAACAUUGUUUAAAUGUUCUUUCACUUUGACAGAGUAUUUUGCAUACGGUUGACAAAAAUGACAAUUUAAUUCAUUGUAAUCCCACUUUGUAACAACAAAAUGUGGAGAAAGUCAAGGGGUGAGAAUACCUUGUGAAAGCACUAUAUGCAAUAAUCCCCAAUAAUGGUGACAAAAACAUUGAUGAUUUGCCCAAUGUUCAACCAUUUGAAUGGAAAUCAAAGAUCCCAACGUUUUACUCUAUUCUUGUUGUAAUGGGAAUGGCUGAAAUGUACUACUAACAAAUGUAAUACAAAAAAUCAUUUGCAUACUAAAAUGUUUUGGUGGAUUAAUUUAGCUUGAUAUUGUGAAAUGUGCAAAUAUCUAAUGAAGAUAUUUUUCUUUCAACCUUAUUCAUGACAAAAUAUUGUAAUUGGUACAAAAAGAUGAAUAAACUGAAGACAGUC